UGGGGAAUAUUGCACAAUGGGCGCAAGCCUGAUGCAGCCAUGCCGCGUGUGUGAAGAAGGCCUUCGGGUUGUUAAGCACUUUCAGCGGGGAGGAAGGCGGUGAGGUUAAUAACCUCAUCGAUUGACGUUACCCGCAGAAGAAGCACCGGCUAACUCCGUGCCAGCAGCCGCGGUAAUACGGAGGGUGCAAGCGUUAAUCGGAAUUACUGGGCGUAAAGCGCACGCAGGCGGUCUGUCAAGUCGGAUGUGAAAUCCCCGGGCUCAACCUGGGAACUGCAUUCGAAACUGGCAGGCUAGAGUCUUGUAGAGGGGGGUAGAAUUCCAGGUGUAGCGGUGAAAUGCGUAGAGAUCUGGAGGAAUACCGGUGGCGAAGGCGGCCCCCUGGACAAAGACUGACGCUCAGGUGCGAAAGCGUGGGGAGCAAACAGG
rnacentral:rRNA from 1 species